ensembl:lncRNA
GAAAAAGCAUGACACACUGUGGGAAAAUAAAGUCACUCGUGUUAGACAACAGCUUACAAAUACCUUCAGUGUGAAUGACGAAUACAAACUGCAGAAGAAGACAGUCGAAAGUCAUUUGCAGAUGCAUGCCAGGCAUUCUUUCCUAUUUUUAUGCAGAAAUCUCAGGCACCCCUCAUUUCUUUAUGUUUUGCUUCCAAGGAGUCAGACUUUUUUGUAUGUUUUUUAAAGUGGUCUGAAGCAAUAGUUCUCCAGGCUUUCUGAAGGUCUUUCAAAGUUUUUCUCUCAACAUAAAUACUACUCUACAAGCCUUUCCAAAAAUUCCAUCUGUCUGUGGGGGUAUGAUAAAGGCUUACACAAGCUCAUCUGAUAUGGCUGUCAGGGCUACGCUGAAAAGGACUGGAGACCACUGAUUUAAAUUAUAUAUCAAAUACAACAACCUCAUAGGAAAGGAGGGGAGGCAGGGGGAGGAUGGUAACAGUCCUUAAUGGGAUGAAUAGAAUCAAAACUAGAACAAAGAAAGUGUGUGUCUUAUCCUUAAAGAAUUGUUUUUUUAAUCAUUUUCUCUUGGUUUACUCUUUUCUUAAAUCUUCUCCGGGAGCUCAGCUGUCAGUUCUAAUGUUUUACCCGGAAUAACCGCACCAUAAGAAUCACGUCAACUCAUAUCUACUUUUGCAGGUCAGCCAUGUCCAGAGGGAUGAUGGUUAAAGUUUAGCUUAGCAGCUGCAGACAGUAAAUGAUUUGGACUAAAUUUUAAAGAUGAAAAAGUGCCGGUCAUACCUAGUCAAUCACUACAGGAAAAAAAUAGUCUUAUGAAAAAGUACUCAGGCGUCAAACCUUCAAUUAAUGCAUUCAUUAAUUAGCUGCAAGUGUCCAAGUGUAGUGAAAGCCCUAAUGAGGGUCAGACAGUCUUCUUGAAUAAUAGGAGUUUUUCCCAUUUUCAUUUUUUUUUAUCUUCCAAUUUAAAAAUAAAACUGGAGCAUCACACACAAAAGCUAACGGAAAAAAGCAUGAGACUGUGACCAGCACAGCCAGAUCUUACCUCACAUUCAACUUGCUGAGGCUGCACAGACCAGUCUUCAUGCCUUCCACUGCACUUGUGAUGUAUGUGAGGCCCUGCUCAUGCUCCCCCAUCCCAACUCAUGGAGCGCCAAUAAAAGCAUGAUGAAAAUCAAGCUGUUCACCAGCCGCAUGCCCAAUUAAGCCCCAGUGUUUACAACGCUAUCACAGAGAGAGUCUAACUGGGAAAGCUGGAUUGCACCUCCUUCUUAUUCAGAUGCCUGCCAGGGCCUGUUAGCUGUAUGAGUUCAGUGAGAUGUAAAGAGACUCCAGGAGCGCACGGGAGACUCGGGAUGCCUCACAACGCCGCUUUUCAUCAGCUUCAAGCCAUCUGCAUUCAAUCCUGUGGAGAGAUGUGGAGACAUUACUGGAUGGAUGGGACGAGGAGAAGAUGAGUGAGGGCAGAAACGGAGUGAGGAGGGAGGAAGAAGAGGAUGGCUCACACGAAGAAAUGCAUGUCUGCUGUUCCUUUCACCAAACGCUGAAGUCAUGUAGCUGCAUUUUUUGUUUUGUAUGAAAUUUGUGGCUUGUUUUUUAAACUUAACCUUUUCAGUAAAAGGAAAACGUGAACUUCUAUGUCUCAAAGUAAAUUUUCUAUGUAGUAACUGAUUGUGUCUUUUCAUUAUUAUUUCUUUUUUCAGAAAGCAAUAUCAUAUCAUAUAUCUUUGGUUCUGAAUUGCCUGAUUAGAGCUUAAUUAGUUUUCCAUGUGAAAACAUUGCUUUGUAAACUCACAAAAAGUCUUCAUAAGACUUCACAACAAAGCCCUCUGGCACUUUUGUAGAGUGGACUCUGUCGAUUUUUCAUAAGCUGGACUUAGCAGGAAUGCACCCAAACAUCCACAAAGCAGAGAAAGAAGACAACGGGAUUUAGCUGAGUUAGUGAGCUGACAUACUGGAGUCAACAAAUCAUCUUAUGGCUGGAACUGUGUCAGGGCAAAGACAUCCUAGUGUAGCAGUUUGAGCCUGCUGGGCUUUAAAGAGGCUUCAUCAGUUGUGCUCUGUAACUAACAAGCACUAUAUGUCCAGUGCAAUGGCUAGUGAAAUAAUAAUUUAAUUAAAAAGCACAGUGUUGCUGCUCCACAUAAGGGUAUGAUGUUUACCUGACUUCAUUAAUGUUUAAAUUCUGUGUUUAGUUUUGAAUAAUCUCCAGGCUGGUGCACUGUAGCCCCUCUGUCUGUAUGAUUGGUAAUUCUUUUUAUCCGGACUGGCACACGACUGAACCGAAGUUUAGUCACAAC